GUGGGAUCGAUCAAGAGCAGGGGGCCAAGAACAAACCCUAACUUUCAGAAAAUCCCAAGGCGUUAAAGAAGAAAGUUCGAGUCAAGUGAAGCAACAAGGGAAUGAAGACCGAGGUAAAUCUCAUGUCUAGCUAUCAAGCUUUGCCCGGUUCGAACACGCCUCAAGCCCGUCAAGCGUUCCGCAUUUUGUAAAAGUCAAUGUUUAAUACUUUG